rnacentral:rRNA from 1 species
AACGAACGCUGGCGGCAGGUCUUAGGCAUGCAAGUCGAACGGGUGUAGCAAUACAUCAGUGGCGCACGAGUGAGUAACGCGUGGGAAGCUGCCCUUCACUGGGGAAUAACGUUUGGAAACGAACGCUAAUACCGCAUACGCCGGAAACGGGAAAGAUUUAUCGGUGAAGGAUGCGCCCGCGUUGGAUUAGCUUGUUGGUGGGGUAACGGCCUACCAAGGCGAUGAUCCAUAGCUGGUCUGAGAGGACGAUCAGCCACGCUGGAACUGAGACACGGUCCAGACUCCUACGGGAGGCAGCAGCUAAGAAUAUUAGGGAAUGGAGGAAACUCUGACCCAGCCAUGCCGCGUGAAUGAAGAAGGCCUUCGGGUUGUAAAGUUCUUUUAGUCGUGAAGAUGAUGACAGUAGCGACAGAAAAAGCACCGGCUAACUUCGUGCCAGCCGCCGCUGUAA